AGUCUUGCGAUGAGCACAAAGUGAAUUAUUCUUUCGCCUUUUACUAAAGAAUACCGUAUGCUCGUCGUUAAAAGAGACAUAUGUCAAUUUUUGGAGGGUUAUUCCUUAAAUGGAUU